rnacentral:rRNA from 1 species
GAUGAACGCUAGCGGCAGGCCUAAUACAUGCAAGCCGAACGGCAAGUUUGAUAGCAAUAUUGGACCUAGAGUGGCGCAAGGGUGCGUAACACGUAUGCAACCUGCCCGCGACAGGAGGAUAGCUCCCCGAAAGGGGGAUUAACCCUCCAUAACACCAUGAGAAGCCAUCUGAUGAUGGUUAAACCGCAAGGGGUCGCGGAUGGGCGUGCGGUUGAUUAGCUAGUUGGCGGGGUAAAGGCCACCCAGGGUGGUGAGCAAUAGGGGUUCGGAGGGGGAGGGCCCCCACACUGGCACUGAGAUACGGGCCCGACUCCUCCGGCAGGCAGCCGUAGGGAGUAUUGGGCGAUGGUUGCUACACUGUGGCCGCCAUGCCGCUUGCAGAAAGAAGGCCUUCUGGGUCGUACACUGCUUUUUCAUGUGGAUAAAACACCCGUGCGCGGGGAAUUGACGGUAACAGGGAAAUAAGCCACGGCUAACUACGUG